UGGCUGAGUUCUUACAGGGCUAAAUGGCAGAGCUGGGUCUGAACUCAGUUUCGAUGAUGCUCAGGCCCCUGUUUUUAGCCAUGAUGCCACGUAGCCUUCUACGGUGAAAUGGUGCCCCCCUCACAACUUCUCACUCAUCUCACGUGUACCGAAUACCCUCUGUGAGUCAGAUACUCUGCUGGUCAUCCAGGACAUCAAGAUGUGAGGACAUGGCUCCUGUGCUCAUGGAACUCGUAACUACUCAUUCUAGUUUGCGUGAAAGGACAGACAAGAUUGAUCUUCCAUCAGUGGAAUAGUCCAAGUUUAAUUGGUGAACCAUACCCCAGUAAUCCCGCUCCCCACCCUCCAUAGAGACCCUUCCACGAUAGGGUGACAAUUUAUAAAUUACCCGAGUUCAUCACGCUAGAAUAAGAGAUGCCUGAUGGUCUAUGGAUGCAUUCGAGGUAGUUCCUGCUCAAGGAGCUCCCCAAAGUCCUGGCACGCUAGAUAUUGCAGGGGUCCCAGAAACCAAGAGAGACCACCUGCAUAACUAUUGGAAGUUUCUGCUGUUUCUACUGUGUUAUCUAAAGCCUUGAAAAAACAUACCCUACAGUCAAAUCCUGGUUUCUUCAGCUGCCGUCUUUAUCACGUUGCUACGUUAUAUAUCCCUUCCUGAACCUCAACAUCCUUAUCUGUAAAAUGAAGAUAAUAGUGUCUUUUAUUGGUUUGUUUAUGUAUCCAUUCAUCCAGAAAACAUUUUUUUAAAUCCCUACCUCAUCCCAGGUAUUGAGCUAG
rnacentral:lncRNA from 1 species